rnacentral:rRNA from 1 species
AGGACGAACGCUGGCGGCGUGCUUAACACAUGCAAGUCGAACGGUAAGGCCUUUCGGGGUACACGAGUGGCGAACGGGUGAGUAACACGUGGGUGAUCUGCCCUGCACUUUGGGAUAAGCCUGGGAAACUGGGUCUAAUACCGAAUAUGACCAUGGGAUGCAUGUCUUGUGGUGGAAAGCUUUUGCGGUGUGGGAUGGGCCCGCGGCCUAUCAGCUUGUUGGUGGGGUUACGGCCUACCAAGGCGACGACGGGUAGCCGGCCUGAGAGGGUGUCCGGCCACACUGGGACUGAGAUACGGCCCAGACUCCUACGGGAGGCAGCAGUGGGGAAUAUUGCACAAUGGGCGAAAGCCUGAUGCAGCGACGCCGCGUGAGGGACGAAGGCCUUCGGGUUGUAAACCUCUUUCAGCACAGACGAAGCGCAAGUGACGGUAUGUGCAGAAGAAGGACCGGCCAACUACGUGCCAGCAGCCGCGGUAA